UACGUAGGUGGCAAGCGUUGUCCGGAAUUAUUGGGCGUAAAGCGCGCGCAGGCGGUCCUUUAAGUCUGAUGUGAAAGCCCACGGCUCAACCGUGGAGGGUCAUUGGAAACUGGGGGACUUGAGUGCAGGAGAGAAGAGUGGAAUUCCACGUGUAGCGGUGAAAUGCGUAGAGAUGUGGAGGAACACCAGUGGCGAAGGCGGCGAGCUGGCCUGUACCUGACGCUGAGGCGCGACAGCGUGGGGAGCAAACAGG
rnacentral:rRNA from 1 species